rnacentral:snRNA from 1 species
AUGCUCACCUCGGCAGCACAUAUCCUAAAAUUGGAAAAAUACAGAGAAGAUUAGAAUGGCCCCUGCGCAAGGAUGACACGCAAGUUCGUGAAGUGUUCCGUAUUUUU